AGAGCUCCUACGGGAGGCAGGCAGUGGGGGAUAUUGCACAAUGGGGGAAACCCUGAUGCAGCGACGCCGCGUGGAGGAAGAAGGUUUUCGGAUUGUAAACUCCUGUCGUUAGGGACGAUAAUGACGGUACCUAACAAGAAAGCACCGGCUAACUACGUGC
rnacentral:rRNA from 1 species